rnacentral:rRNA from 1 species
CAUGAACGCUAGCGGCAGGCCUAAUACAUGCAAGUCGAACGAGAUUAAGGAGCUUGCUCCUUAUGAAAGUGGCGCACGGGUGCGUAACGCGUAUGCAACCCACCUUACUCAGGGGGACAGCCCGAAGAAAUUCGGAUUAACACCGCAUAAAAAGACAGGAUAGCAUUAGCCAAUGUUCAAAUAUAUAUAGGAUUAAGAUGGGCAUGCGUGAGAUUAGCUAGUUGGCAGGGUAACGGCCCACCAAGCCGACGAUGACCAGGGGAUCUGAGAGGAUGACCCCCCACGCUGGUACUGAGACACGGACCAGACUCCUACGGGGGGCAGCGGUAAGGAAUAUUGGUCAAUGGAGGCAACUCUGAACCAGCCAUGCCGCGUGCAGGAAGACUGCCCUAUGGGUUGUAAACUGCUUUUAUCCGGGAAUAAACCUAAUUACGUGUAAUUAGCUGAAUGUACCGGAAGAAUAAGGAUCGGCUAACUCCGUGCCAGCCGCCGCCGUAAUAC